rnacentral:rRNA from 1 species
GACGAACGCUGGCGGCGUGCUUAACACAUGCAAGUCGUACGGUAAGGCCCUUUCGGGGGUACACGAGUGGCGAACGGGUGAGUAACACGUGAGUAACCUGCCCACAACUUUGGGAUAACGCUAGGAAACUGGUGCUAAUACUGGAUAUGUGCUCCUGCUGCAUGGUGGGGGUUGGAAAGCUCCGGCGGUUGUGGAUGGACUCGCGGCCUAUCAGCUUGUUGGUGGGGUAGUGGCCUACCAAGGCGGCGACGGGUAGCCGGCCUGAGAGGGUGACCGGCCAGUUUGGGUCUUAGACACGCCCCCGCCCCCCACGGGGGGCGGCGGUGGGGAAUCUUGCCGGGGGGGCGCCAGCCUGAUCCACCCCCGCCGCGGGCGGGAUGCCGUCCUUCGGGUUGUAACCCGCUUGCAGCAGGGACGAUUCUUUUUGUGACGGUACCUGCAGAAGAAGCCCCGGCUCCCUACGCG